GCUGGAUAUGGGAGUCUGGGGCUAAGAGGAGGGGUGUUGGCUAGAUAUAUAAGCUUUGAAGUCAUCAGCCUAUAAAUAUUGACAAAACAAGUGAGGUGGCAGAGGAAUUAGUGAACAUAGAAAAAAAAGAGGUCUGAGGAUUGAGAUCAGAGGCAUGCCCAUAUAUUAAAGAUUAAGGAACAGAGGAAGAAUCCACAAAGGAGAUUGAGAAGGAGUAGUCAGGGAGGUAGAAAGCAAGCCAAGAGACUGUCUCAAGUAGAAGGGAAUGAUCAACUGCUGACUGAUUAAGUAAGAUAAGGACUGAGACUUAGCAACAUGGAGGUCAUCAGUGAUUUUUGACUAGCUCAACCUGUGAGAGUGAAAACAUGACUGAAGUGAGUUCAAAGGGAAGUGGAGGAGUGGUCUUAGAGACAGUGAAUGCAGUCAGUCCUUUAAAUUUUGUCCUGAAGGGGAGUCGAGAUAUGAUAUAAGGAAAAGAUUUUCAUUUUUCCAAUGGAAGAUAAUAUAGCACAUUUACUUGCUGGUGAGAAUGAUCCAAGAGAGGAGGAAAAAACUGAUAAAAGACAGGGAAAGAAGGGACAAAGUACAAUUACUAAAACUUUCAAGGAAGGGGAAGAAACUAAGACUAUAAGUAGAGGGAUUGUCUUAGCUCAGGGGAUGGAACAUGUGUGUACUGUAGCACGCAGGGUGCACUAACAGAUGCAAGUGAAUGUGGUGAUGGGAAUGAGGAGGGGCAUUUUCAGGUUGCUUUAAUUUUCUUAGUGAAUUUGGAGGUAAGGGCAUGAACUUGAAAUGAGGGUGGAAAAGGAGAUAUUGUAGGAAAAGAUACAAAAUAGUCAUUUAGGAGGGUGGGAGAGGAACUAAACAAGGAGAAUGGGGCAGUAAAUAGACUAGGAAGAUGUAGUGGGAUUGCUGAAUAGCACAAAAGUCUCACCGGAGGUGAGUGAUAACGAGUUUAAAUCAGGACCGCCUGGUUUGGAUGUGUAUUUUCUCCUGCCAUAUUAAGCUGCAGGCAUGUGCAAACAUCAUGUGUGGGGAAUUGAAUUAAGCCAGGACUGGGUCCUUUUCAAGAAAAUACAAUGAAAGGAGAGAAGGGCAAGAGAGUUGAAAGUGUAUGCAAGGGAAUUUAUACUGAUGGACUGUAGAAUCUACACAGGGUAAGGACGCGAGGUGAGUGCGGGACAGUGAAAAGGUGGUGGCAUCAGAUUAACUAAUUUUCAGUCCCAAAGGACCAGAAAUAUUUUAGGAAUUGGGAUGUUAGUGGGAAUAAACUAUUAGGUUGGUGCAAAAGUAAUUUUCUUGUUUGUUUGGUUUUUUGUUUGUUUGUUUGUUUUGCCCUUACUUUUGCACCAACCUAACAGGAAAAAUCAGUGGUUAUGGUCAGAAAGUGGGAAGCUUGAAGUUGAGAUUAUCAAGUUAAUAUCAGUGCAGUCAUUGGUAAUGAUAAGUUCUAGGAUCUAAGCAAUGGGAAGAAAGAAGUUGGCUGAAGAAAUGAUGGAAAUUAAUUAUAUAAUUGAAGAAAAAGAAGUCAAGGCACUGAGAGCAUGUUCAGUUGGCAGAAAUUCCAUGACAGCAUCUACAAGGGCAUAUUGGAGAGAGUGAGGUCAUUUCAGAGAGGCUUCAGGAUGGAGUUGUGAUAAACGCAUGUGUUCAGUCUACAAUGUUUAACAGGGAGUGCCUCUUGAUUUUUUCAUGUGAAUUACUGAGGAGUAGGUAGUAGACUAUCUUGAUGCCCUUCCUCAUGUCCCUUUGACUCUGAGUUGACCUGCAGCUGCAGUGAACACUUCCUAAGGAUGCUGAUGUCUUCCCCUAUCAAGCACUUGCCUCAUUCUGCUUCUCCGAGGAUUUCCUCCAGUACACCAAGAGCUUGCCCGACACUCACAAGGUAUCCUGGAACUGCUGGGGACUGAAAACCCCUCAACCCAUGAAGAAUGAGGAUCAGUGGAUUAAUAGCAACUGUCCCAUACCUUGGUGGGACUAUUAUAAGGCAUUCUGGUUGGUUCCUCAGAGGUCCCAAAUGGGAUUGAACCAAAGUUGCCCACAGUAAAAACUCAUUCACCAACUCAAUUUUCAUUUCACCCCUCUCAAUUUGCACACUCACUCACUUGUUCUACCUGGGAUACUCUCCAAGAUAAACUCCUGUAUCCAAAGCUUUGUCUCAAGGUCUCAUUUGGGAGGAACUCAAACUAAGAUAAUAGGUACUGGAAGUGACUACAGAAAGUAUAUUAUCAAUGGUAUGGAGGCAACAAAAACCCCAUUAAUGGUGGUGAGUAAGGUGGUGACAAACCCUGGCACUUUGAAGAAUUUCAUUACCCACAAUUGACCCAUGGUGUACUUGGAUGAGGUAAAAAUGAAAGGAGACGCUAACCUUAUGCAAUAGUGCUAACUCCUGAAAGAUAUAGGGCUGUGAUAAUCACAGGAAUUGAAGAGUUGUCUUGUUCUUGUUAACUCCCCUAGAAGAAUUGGGAAAAAAGAAAGAUAGGUUUACAACAUCCAACUACCCAUUCAGAGCAUAGCAAUGAAAGCCAGAAGGUCUCCUUGGGAGAAUCUGAAGAGACCCCCAUUUCCUGCAACCAGAGGGCAGGCUGUUCUAAAAAAAUGACAUUCAGGGGUUCACUGCAAGAGGAAUUGAACUACAGAGCAGACUGAAGACACAGUCCAGGCAGGCCUCUCAUGCAAAAGUCAAAGCCCUAGAGGAAGGAAAUGGUCCUUAAAAACUACUGGGAUGCAGGCAGGCAUCUGGAUAGAUGUGCUAGAUAACCUUGAACCCCUAGAUUCCCUGAACAACCCAGGCUAGCAGGAGUAUCCUGCACCCUGUUACUUGAACAGAACAGCUUCCCUUUGCCUAGAGACUCUACACAGUCCUCCUCUGAAGCAGACACCUCCAAGAUUACUUCAAGGUCUGCUACUUCCUGCCCUCAUUGCCUCUAUUCCAAAAACUGGAAACAAGUCUCAGCAUGCCCUGAGCAGGGUAGCACAUUUCUUGCUGUGAGAGAUAUGACAGAUUGUAUUUUCUAAAGAAGGCUGCAACCAUGUCUCUCAUCCCAAAUGCUCUUCUACAAUGCAAUCUUGUCACUCCUCUACCAAGAGAUGAAACCUAAUUUCAAUGCCCUUGAAUCUAAGCUGGACUUUACUUGCUUUGACCUGUAAUGUACAGAAGUGACACUGUGUGAUUCUUACAGCUGAGUCAUAAAAGGUGAUGCAGCUUCUGCCUUGUUCCUGGGGACAUAUGCCUCUGUGAGAUUGAGCUACUAAAUAACAAGACCACCUACCUUGAGGCUGCCAUGCUGGAAGAAAGCAAAGCCACAUGAAGAGCAAGUAAGCUGGUUGCUUUAGCAAGAUCCUUCAUAUUGAUAGUGAAUGUGCACUUCUGUCUUUCUCUUGUGAAUGCAAACCACUUUUUCAAUAGUCUCACGUUAAGUGCCAAAGAUUGUUGUUUUUGUUGAAUGCAUUCUCUUUAUCAUUCACUACCUGGCCCUAGGAAUUUGUUCAAUGAUCCUCAUUUCUGUUACAAUAUAGUCUUCAGUGACCUUGAUCAUCUUCACAUUCUAUAGAACAUCAUCCUGGCCCAUUAUAUUAAUGACAGAAUAAUAAUUGAACUUGGUUUUUAGGAAGGAGCAAGUAUACUGGUUUUAAAUACUUCAUGCUGAAGGAAUGAGAGAUAAGCCCUACAAAGUUUUGGAAGUCUGCCACAUCAGGGAAUAUUUUAGGGGCCCAAAGAUCCAGGGGUAUGUUGAGACACCCUACUCAAAAGAAUACUUUACAUUUCCUACCACUAAGACAGAGGCACAGCACUUGGUGAGCUGCUUUGAAUUCCUGAGGCAAAAAAAUAACAAUAAUAAAUACUACCCAUGAGAAUAAUGCUCUGAUCUAUUGUAUCAGAAGACUAUUGACUUUGCGGGGGUCUGAGAGAGUAUCUGAAUAGCCUUUUAAAGACUUAAAAAGGCAUUGGCUUAGGAAUUGCACCUUGCAUGGCUAGGUCAUUGUCCUCGAGGAUACAGCAUAUUUGUUGAACCAGUGAUCACUAUAUGCAAUCACUGUGCUGUUUUCCCAGCAUUUGGAAUACACAGGAAUGAUAAUUAAAGGAUACAAGUAGGACUGACUUAAACACACUCCCUUUCACCCAUUAGUGGAAAUUAUGUUUUUAAUUCUUACAACUUUAGGCUCUUCCUGAUUAAAAGCCUUGGUCUCAAGGUGUGUGUACAGACGGAGACAGUAAGUGUUCCACUGCAUCAAUGCAGUGCCAUCUGAGGAUUUGGGCAUCUCCAUACUGACAGGUCAGCAGGCAAAAAUGGGAGUACUAUACUGGCAGGGACACCUGACUGAUUAUCUUGAAGAGUCGGAGUUGCUGCUACAUAAUGGGCCCAGGGAGGAAGAUGUCUAGAACUUGGGGGAAUCACUCAGGCCCCCCUUAGUGCUUCUUUGUCUGGCGAUAAUAGCAGAGAAGCAAUUGAAGUAGCCAUGUCCUCACAAGGGCAAGGUAAUCAAGGCCCAGCCACUCAGAGAUGAAGGUCUGGUCAUACACUGAGCAAGCAAUGAUGACUAGUGGAAGUGCUAGCCAAGGAUUCGGGAAAUCUAGAAGAAGUGGAAUUGGAGAGAGAUGAUGAGUAUAGAUUAUAGCCUUGGGACCAGCUGCAGCAGUGAAGAUUGUGACUUGUUCCACAUAUUCUUCUAUUUUCAGUCAUUUUUGGAGAUUGCAGCCAGCUACAACUCUGAAAUGUCAGUAACAGAGCAAACUAAGGGUGGGCAUGAGAGGAUCUGCUGAGAGCAAGGAAUGAACAUGGUAGUCACUAAUGAUACACUGCCCAUGUUCCCCGGCUCACCUGUUAGCUCCCCGGCAGCUUGCAAACAUGUCUAUACACACUGCCAUCUUCCUACCACGAGUGCCAUAACUCUCUGCUUCUCUGCUGAGGCCCUUCUCAGCUCACAGUGCGAGUAGCCUGCAAGUGCUAAGGGCAUAAUGCCUCCAAGGUCAACUUUAAUCAACGAGGUUCAAGAGUCAGAAGAGUGAAUUCCUUCUGAGAUACAUUCUUUCUGGUUUCUCAGAGGCUCCCCAGAGGAAGUAGGCCCCAGUUGCUUAGGAAAAAUGGAACCUACUUAUUAAGGCACCCCCUUUUUACUUUUCUCCUUUCUUUCUCUCCCUUUCCCCACUCCAUUCCGUGAAGUUCCUGGGAUCACCAAAUAAACUAUCUGUAAUCAAAUCUUUAUCUCACUCUGCAUUCUGGGGAACCCAAACAAAGAUGGUAAGUUUGCCUAUCUACAUUUAUGUCUUAUUUGCUACAAGUAUUACUGGUAAUUUUCUUGACAAAAGUAAUAUGAUAUCUGCUGAUAGGCCAAAAUAAUACAUAUUUAUAGUGAUAACUGCAGCAAAAAUGUGAAAACCAAUUUUAAAAAGUUAUUUUCACUAGUUUAAGAAAAA
rnacentral:lncRNA from 1 species